rnacentral:lncRNA from 1 species
UUUAAGUUUUCCCAGUGUAGAUUUUGGUCUAGCCCCCCUCAUUUCACGCUUUUAUCUUAACUGAUUAGAUCUUAGAGUCCCUAUCGGCGUGUUUUUCUUAGAAACACAUAUGUGCUAUCGAUAGAGUCGACCGUUAGACUUUAAUAGCUUUCUGGUGAAUGAUAUGGGCCUUGCAUCCCAUAAGUCAUCUUAAGUAUUAGGUUCGCUAAGCCCUUUUACGAGUGGUAAGGAAAUCUGUUCUUGAAUAUCUCUCACAGUUUCCCAUAAUUUUCAUUGGUUAAAACCCCACCACAAACAAAGGACGCCAAAGGUUCAUAAAAACCACAAAUUCUCAAAAUUCUGCAUCAUUUGUGAGUUGAGUUAAUAUAGUCAUUAUGUGAGAUCAAGUUUGUUCGUGUAUUGUGGGCCCCGCCGAUUAGGCAGGGUCCACCUUUCACCUUCCACCUUCCACCUAUGCAUUAUGUUGUCCAGCUGCUAUUUUAUGAACACUGUUAAAUACUAUUAUUCUUUCGACUGUGUCGUAAAGUUGAAUUUCUUCAUGGCCAUCUUCCACACCUUGAGAGCCUGCCGGCUUACAAAGGGCCAUCCUACCCUCUAACAGAUGUUUUAAGUAAGUCACUCAUCUUUUACUUAUUGAAGAAAUUAGUAGAGACGCCUUUGUUAUGUCCAGGGCAAGGACAAUUUUGUGUGCUUUCGUGAAAUAAGUUCAAUGACCUAAAGUUUUCGCCCAGUUUGUGAUAGUGACAUUCUGAAAAGUAGGUCAUACUUUUAGUAUGAAGUUAAUGAUUAUUUUUUUAUUUUUAAAUGGGUGAUCAUUUAAACUAUAAACAUUUACAUUAUGUAGAUAUUUUUCUGAGUAUUAUUAGAGUGUUAUUAAGUAUUGUUAGAUAGGUAUAAAUAUAAACAAAGAGCUCUUUCUUUUUUUGUUGUAAGUGAACGGUAAAAUUUCUAGUUUUUAUUUAGAGUAUGGAUUUUUUAUUUUUUCGAGUAACUACAGUUCUUUUUUUUUGAGUUAAUAAUUAAUAGUUAUAUUCGUUCACUUACA